rfam:Cricetulus griseus cell line CHO-K1, whole genome shotgun sequence.
CAGCUAGCUCAGUCAGUAGAGCAUGAGAUUCUUAAUCUUACGGUUGUGGGUCCAUGCCUCACGAAGCUGG